UACGUAGGGGGCAAGCGUUGUCCGGAUUUAUUGGGCGUAAAGAGCGUGUAGGCGGCCAUGUAGGUCCGUUGUGAAAACUCGAGGCUCAACCUCGAGACGCCGAUGGAAACCAUGUGGCUAGAGUCCGGAAGAGGAGAGUGGAAUUCCUGGUGUAGCGGUGAAAUGCGCAGAUAUCAGGAGGAACACCAAUUGCGAAGGCAGCUCGCUGGGACGUAACUGACGCUGAGACGCGAAAGCGUGGGGGAGCAAACAGG
rnacentral:rRNA from 1 species